AAGGAUUUAAGUUAAAUAAACUCGUAGCCUUCAAAGCUUCUAACAAAGAAAAAAAAACCAUCUUUAAGCCUUA
rnacentral:tRNA from 1 species